UACGAACCACACAAACGUUAUUCGGAAUUACUGGGCUUAAAGGGUGCGUAGGCGGCGCAGCAAGUAGGGUGUGAAAUCCCUCGGCUCAACCGAGGAACUGCGCCCUAAACUACUGUGCUCGAGGGAGGUAGAGGUGAGCGGAACUUAGGGUGGAGCGGUGAAAUGCGUUGAUAUCCUAAGGAACACCGGUGGCGAAAGCGGCUCACUGGACCUCUUCUGACGCUGAGGCACGAAAGCUAGGGUAGCGAACGGG
rnacentral:rRNA from 1 species